rnacentral:rRNA from 1 species
UACGAAGGGGGCUAGCGUUGCUCGGAAUCACUGGGCGUAAAGGGUGCGUAGGCGGGUCUUUAAGUCAGAGGUGAAAUCCUGGAGCUCAACUCCAGAACUGCCUUUGAUACUGAGGGUCUUGAGUAUGACAGAGGUGAGUGGAACUGCGAGUGUAGAGGUGAAAUUCGUAGAUAUUCGCAAGAACACCAGUGGCGAAGGCGGCUCACUGGGUCAUUACUGACACUGAGGCACGAAAGCGUGGGGAGCAAACAGG